rnacentral:rRNA from 1 species
UACGUAGGGGGCUAGCGUUGUCCGGAUUUAUUGGGCGUAAAGAGCGUGUAGGCGGCCAGGUAGGUCUGCUGUGAAAACUCGAGGCUCACCUCGAGACGUCGGCGGAAACCAUCUGGCUAGAGUCCGGAAGAGAGAGUGGAAUUCCUGGUGUAGCGGUGAAUGCGCAGAUAUCAGGAGGAACACCAGUGGCGAAGGCGACUGACUGGACAGAUAUUGACGCUGAGGUGCGAAAGCGUGGGGAGCAACAGG